GCUUUAUCUGAAAAGUAAGUAUCUUACCUCGGGAUAAAGGGAGGAAAGAGGGGUUUGUGGCCAGACUGACAGAGGAAGGGUGGACGGAGAGAACCGAAGCGCUCGCUGCUCCCACAACACAGAGCUGGAGAGCUUCGCUCUUCUCCCCCCUGCAUCGAUCAGGAUUGAUGAGGAGGAGACUGUGGGACGGGACGGAGGAGCGGAGACAGAGCGGGCCACGGUGAGGUUUUGAUGAAUGCAGAGUUCUUGUGAUGAACUUGCGACCUGUCCAGUGUGAAGCAGGUGCAGAAAAUGGCCAGAUGAAAACAAACUGAGAAGUGUGCCGUUUGGACUGAGUCCUCCAUGUUGGUUCAUGAGCUUUUUGCUGCUGCUUCAUAGUGCCGCUGACGCACGGCUCUCAAGAAAACAAAUCGAGCAGCCACCUUUAGAAAAGACCCUCUGUCAUUCAGAGAUCAGAGGACCGACUUGUGUUGAAGCAAAUGUUAAUAAAAGGCCUGGCAUGAAGACUGCCUCUCAUGUCAAGGACCGUCUUAUAAUGAGAACAUAAUGAGAAAUGAAAGUUGCAGCCAAUUUAAUAAAAUCUUGGAAAGAAGGGUGAGAUAACAGGAUGGUUGGAGAAUGUGAUGGGAAUGACUCUCAGCUACCACCACCUUCAUCCUCAGCUCAGUAGUUCUUUAAGUACAGUCGUGGUUUUGGAUCGACUCGUCGAUGUGCAUCCAAUGAAAGUCUGAAGUUUUCAUCACAAUCCACCCAGUGGUUCAUGAGAUAUUUUGCUAACACAACAGACAAACAAACACACCAACAGAGGGCAAAAACAGCCCUUUGACAAUCAGUGGCAAAUAAAAGUUAGAUUUUGGCUGAUAACAUAUUUUUUUAAAUGACAUGUAAAUAACUUGCAUUAAAUAAAUCUGCAGUUUGAAGUAUCCAUGAGAACAGACAUAUUCAAUAAAAUAUUAUUUUAACUCGUCACUGGAUCAGCCAUCAGCAGCAUUUAGGUAUUUUCUCUUAUUUUCCAUCAGAUAAGUGAAAUAACAGCACGUAUAGAUGUUGGGUUGAUUUUAAUAUGCAUUUUUAAAUAUCCCUGUUAUUUUUUUUACCCAACAGUUUGUGUCACAUUAAAAAAAAACUAUAUAUAUAAUAUGUAACUAAUGCUCCUCCAACUGUGAGUUUAUAUAAAGAGCCUGACUGGAUAAAAAAAUGUUUGUAAUUAUGUUUAAUUUUUACUAGAAAGAGUUACUUCUGACAUUUUGACAUGGAGUUCUGUGGAGAAGUUAUGAAGAAAUACUACCUUACCUGCAGUAGAUAUCUUUUCAACCUCAGUUUGCAGAAAGAGAUUAUUUCCCACCUGACAGGAGAGCUAAUGGCUCAUUCAAACAUAGAAAAGAUCAAACUGGAUCGUUGCCUUGUUAAAACGGCUCCAUUAUCCAAGAUUUUAUAGCCGUUUAUGCAAACACUUUGAUUUUUAAACCAUCAUGAAUUUUAAUUUAAAGAUGUGUGCAGAGUUCUGUUGUUGUUUACAAGAACAAAUAGCGGGAACAGCAUUCAGAGUUGUUUUAAAACAGCCGUAAUCCACUUUAGCCUUGGAUGUGUUCAGACUAGCCGUUUGCUUGUCACUUUGAAAUGAAUUAAACUAUUUCUACAAAGUGAGGUAUCUGUCUGCAACAGGUAAGAUAAUAACUAAUCAUAACCUGUCCACAAAACCUCAUUUCAAACUGUCAUCAACAGUGUGACACUGUAAGAACUGUUUUUUUUAUUUAAAUAAAACACUCCAACAUUUUAGUUUA